GAGACAUUGGUGUAGGAGUAACACGGCAGACUGUGGAUCUGCAAUCGUGAGUGCGAAUCUCACAUGUCUCC
rnacentral:tRNA from 1 species